rfam:Morus notabilis contig6117, whole genome shotgun sequence.
AAGACAAAGUGAAAGAUCCUGUUGAGCUUGACUCUAGUCCGACUUUGUGAAAUGACUUGAACGGUGUAGUAUAAGUGGGAGCUGGAAACGGCGAAAGUGAAAAUACCACUACUUUUAACUUUAUUUUACUUAUUCCAUGAAUCGGAGGCGGGGCACUGUCCCUCUUUUUGGACCCAAGGCCCGCCCCGGCAGGCCGAUCUGGGCGGAAGACAUUGUCAGGUGGGUAGUUUGGCUGGGGCGGCACAUCUAUUAAAAGAUAACACAGGUGUCCUAAGAUGAACUCAACGAGAACAGAAAUCUCGUGUGGAACAAAAGGUAAAAGCUCGUUUGAUUCUAAUUUCCAGUACGAAUACAAACCAUGAAAGCGUGGCCUAUCGAUCCUUUAGACCUUCAGAAUUUGAAGCUAGAGCUGUCAGAAAAGUUACCGCAGGGAUAACUUGCUUGUGGAAGUCAAGCGUUCAUAGCGACGUUGCUUUUUGAUCCUUUGAUGUCGGCUCUUCCUAUCAUUGUGAAGCAGAAUUCACCAAGUGUUGGAUUGUUCACCCACCAAUAGGGAACGUGAGCUAGGUUUAGACCGUCGUGAGACAGGUUAGUUUUACCCUACUGAUGACAGUGUCACAAUAGUAAUUCAACUUAGUACGAGAGGAACCGUUGAUUCGCACAAUUGGUCAUCGCGUGAAAGACCAACUUUUAGAUUAAAACACCUAAGGAAAAGAAAAAAUAAAACAAAAUCCUGGAACAAGCCCACAUAAAAAUGACUUCAAACAAAAAAAAAAGACCAAACAUUAGGGCCGGUGGUCCGAAGGGAAUAUUCGAGCCGGCCCAUCAACCCAGUCUGGCCGGCCUUAAAACCUGACAGCGGCUCAGACUUUUACAAAGAAAAUGUGAAAAUAAAAUAAAACACUUCAGGCCGGCCUAGCCCGGCCCAGCCUGAAAAUAGUUUAGGGCCUAUUGUAUCAUUCCAGCCAAGGUGGAGGUUAGGGCAGGGGCGGGCCAGGCCCAAGCCAAUAGUAACAGGCUUAGGACCGGCCGUUUAGCCUAGCCCAAACUUACAG